AUGCAUCCAACAAUCAAAGGCUUGAUAAAGUCAUGCCGCAGUAUAUCAACAAAACAGGACUUUGACGAGGCCAUUACAGAGUUGUUAGUUUGUUUUUCUUUAUCUACUCAGAGGUGAACGUGCUGGUGUGUUUUAAAUCAUCGUCCUGCUGCGCAACUCAAUUUUGUUUCGGCUUGAGGCCACGAACCGAUGGGCCAACAUACUCCUUCAGGAGUUUUUGUUCUGUUUUCCCACCAAGCACGAACCUCAGUGUGGAUCUUCAGUCCUCUUUCGCCGUCGUUGAUGUGGACUUUCCAUUUCCACCUUUAGAACUUGCUCCACUCGUUCCUCGUCAUGGCAGAAGGUCACCUCAACUGCAACGAGACCCUUUUCGACGUGAGCGCGAGUGCUAACCCACGAAACUGGCGAUUAACGCUGCACAGGUCGGCAUGGUUGUUUUGGAGUAUCAAGAUGGCAGAUGUCGACUUCAGUUUUUGUGGUCAGUGAGCUUCCGAACGGCGCCCACGUCGUUCAACGUUUGCUACGUCUACAAACGGAAUAUUAAGCUUCUCAACUGGCACGCGCUUCACAGCCGACUGACGUCGAACUGUCAGCGUCACGCAAUUAAAAAGAAACUCCAGGAUUCAAAGAGGAGAUUAACAUCCCCGCAGUCUACAGCAGCAGACAAGUGCAUGCUAACUAGCUAGCCGAGCAAUAACAUGGGCGGUGGUGAGUUUGAGUAUCUUUAGUUUGUGCUGUGAGAAGA